GACGAACGCUGGCGGCGUGCUUUACACAUGCAAGUCGAACGGAAAGGCCCUUCUUUUGUGUGGUGCUCGAGUGGCGAACGGGUGAUUAACACGUGAGUAACCUGCCCUUGACUUUGGGAUAACUUCAGGUAACUGGGUCUAAUACCGGAUAUGCGCUCCUGCUGCAUGGUGGGGGUUGGAAAGUUUCGGCGGUUGGGGAUGGACUCGCGGCUUAUCAGCUUGUUGGUGGGGUAGUGGCUUACCAAGGCUUUGACGGGUAGCCGGCCUGAGAGGGUGACCGGCGACAAUGGGACUGAGAGACGGCCCAGACUCCUACGGGAGGCAGCAGUGGGGAAUAUUGCACAAUGGGCGGAAGCCUGAGGCAGCAACGCCGCGUGCGGGAUGAGGGCCUUCGGGUUGUAAACCGCUUUCGCCUGUGACGAAGCGUGAGUGACGGUAAUGGGUAAAGAAGCACCGGCUAACUACGUG
rnacentral:rRNA from 1 species